rnacentral:rRNA from 1 species
UACGUAGGUGGCAAGCGUUGUCCGGAUUUACUGGGCGUAAAGGGCGUGCAGGCGGUCUGUUAAGUCUAGGGUGAAAGCUCCCGGCUCAACUGGGAGAGGUCCUUGGAUACUGGCGGACUUGAGGGAGGCAGAGGAAAGUGGAAUUCCCGGUGUAGUGGUGAUAUGCGUAGAUAUCGGGAGGAACACCAGUGGCGAAGGCGGCUUGCUGGGCCUUACCUGACGCUGAGACGCGAAAGCGUGGGGAGCGAACCGG